ACUUAGUGGCGAACGGGUGAGUAACGCGUUGGUGACCUGCCCCAAAGCGGGGGAUAACAGCCUGAAAGGGUUGCUAAUACCGCAUGAGGUCAAAAGAGAUUAGAAACUUUUGAUUAAAGGAGAAAUCCACUUUGGGAGGGGCCUGCGUCCCAUCAGCUAGUUGGUAGGGUAACGGCCUACCAAGGCGAUGACGGGUAGGGGACCUGAGAGGGUGGCCCCCCACAAUGGAACUGAAACACGGUCCAUACACCUACGGGUGGCAGCAGUAGGGAAUAUUGCACAAUGGGCGAAAGCCUGAUGCAGCAACGCCGCGUGAGUGAAGAAGGCCCUCGGGUCGUAAAACUCUUUUCAAGAGGAAGAGGAAGGACGGUACUCUUGGAAUAAGCCUCGGCUAACUACGUGCCAGCAGCCGCGGUAACACGUAGGAGGCGAGCGUUAUUCGGAUUUACUGGGCGUAAAGCGCGUGUAGGCGGCUUAUUAAGUUGGAUGUGAAAGCUCCCGGCUUAACUGGGAGAGGACGUUCAAAACUAGUAAGCUUGAGUACGAGAGAGGAAAAUGGAAUUCCGGGUGUAGUGGUGAAAUGCGUAGAUAUCCGGAGGAACACCAGUGGCGAAGGCGAUUUUCUGGCUCAAGACUGACGCUCAGACGCGAAAGCUAGGGUAGCAAACGGGAUUAGAGACCCCGGUAGUCCUAGCUGUAAACGAUGUAGACUAGGCGUUGGUGGAGUAAAAUCCAUCAGUGCCGGAGCAAACGCGAUAAGUCUACCGCCUGGGGACUACGGCCGCAAGGUUAAAACUCAAAGGAAUUGACGGGGCCCC
rnacentral:rRNA from 1 species